rnacentral:pre_miRNA from 15 species
CUCGAGUUGUGCAAAAGUGCUUACAGUGCAGGUAGAGUUCAGGAUCUACUGCAGUUUAAGCACUUCUGGCAUUACUGUGG